rnacentral:rRNA from 1 species
GAGGGAAAGGUGAAAAGUACCCCGGUGAGGGGAGUGAAAUAGUACCUGAAACCGUGUGCCUACAAGCUGUUCGAGGGCUAUGCAUGAAACAGCCUGAGAGCGUGCCUUUUGGAUAAUGAGCCAGCGAGUUAAUGUAACCGGCGAGGUUAAGGGUUAACACCCGGAGCCGCAGCGAAAGCGAGUCCGAAUAGGGCGAUUCAGUCGUUUGCAUUAGACGCGAAACUAGGUGAGCUACCCAUGAGCAGGGUGAAGCGUAGGUAAGACUGCGUGGAGGCCCGAACCUUCUAGCGUUGAAAAGCUAUUGGAUGACUUGUGGGUAGGGGUGAAAAGCCAAACGAACCUAGAGAUAUCUCGUUCUCCCCGAAAUUUCUAUACGGAAAGCGUCAUGCGCUGACCCGCGGGGGUAAGCCUCUGGACGUGUGCAGGCAGGUAACACUGUACUAAUCGCGACUAAAGUGAGAAUACCGCGGGGUGAAGCAUGGCAGUGAGACUGUGGGUGAUAAGGUCCAUGGUCGAGAGGGAAACAGCCCAGACCUACAGCUAAGGUCCCUAAAUAUGACUGAGUGGGAAAGGAUGUGGGAUCUCGAUGACAACCAGGAGGUUGGCUUAGAAGCAGCCACCCUUGAAAGACAGCGUAACAGCUCACUGGUCAAGAGAUCCUGCGCCGAAAAUGUAACGGGGCUAAGUCAUAUACCGAAGCUUAGGGCGGCACCUUUAUUGGUGUUGCGGUAGGGGAGCGUUCCAUAGGAAUUCUAGCGCGACGGUGACGACGCGUGGUGGCCUAUGGAAGUGAGAAUGCUGGCAUGAGUAGCGAUAAGAAAGGUGAGAAUCCUUUCCACCGAAAGGGUAAGGUUUCCUGGGCUAGGCUCGUCCUCCCAGGGUUAGUCGGCCCUAAGCCGAGGCCGAAAGGCGUAGGCGAUGGCUAGCAGGUUAAUAUUCCUGCACCACCAAUAUGUGUUGAAACGACGGGGACGCCUGAGGGUAAGCUGGAUGGCGACUGGUAGUGCCAAUCCGGGACAUAGGCGAGACUGUAGGUUUCGCUGAAGGGAACCGGCGACUGGAUUUAUCCGGGAGCAGCUGGGCCCUUGGGACGAGAAAAGCCGUUCGUGGAGCAUAUUGGUGUCCGUACCGCAAACCGACACAGGUACCCGAGGAGAGUAUCCUAAGGUGUUCGAGAUAACCACCGCUAAGGAACUAGGCAAAUUCGCACCGUAACUUCGGGAGAAGGUGCGCCCUCCAUGGUGAGACGACUUGCUCGUUUAGCCUAGUGGGGGCCGCAGAGAAUCGGCUCAUGCGACUGUUUACCAAAAACACAGGUCUCUGCUAAGUCGUAAGACGACGUAUAGGGACUGACGCGUGCCCGGUGCCGGAAGGUUAAGGAAGGUUGUCAAGGCUUCGGCCUGAAGCUCCCGACUGAAGCCCCGGUGAACGGCGGCCGUAACUAUAACGGUCCUAAGGUAGCGAAAUUCCUUGUCGGGUAAGUUCCGACCCGCACGAAUCGCGUAACGAUAUGAGCGCUGUCUCGGCGGUGGGCUCGGUGAAGUUGCAAUGCCGGUGCAGAUGCCGGCUAACUGCAGAAGGACGAAAAGACCCCGUGAAGCUUUACUAUAGCUUGGCCUUGGUCUUUGAUUCAUCAUGUGCAGGAUAGGUGGGACGCUUUGAAGCGGGAUCGUUAGAUUCCGUGGAGCGGUCGUUGAGAUACCACCCUUGUUGCAUUGAAGAUCUAACCGCAAGCCAUGAAUCUGGCUGCGGGACAUGGCCUGGUGGGUAGUUUGACUGGGGCGGUCGCCUCCUAAAGAGUAACGGAGGCGCGCAAUGGUUCCCUCAGCGCGUAUGGAAAUCGCGUAUUGAGUGUAAAGGUAUAAGGGAGCUUGACUGCGAGACCUACAAGUCGAGCAGGUACGAAAGUAGGCCUUAGUGACCCGAUGGUUCCUCAUGGUAGGGCCAGAGCUCAACGGAUAAAAGUUACUCCGGGGAUAACAGGCUAGUCUUGCCCAAGAGUCCAUAUCGACGGCAAGGCUCGGCACCUCGAUGUCGGCUCGUCACAUCCUGGGGCUGGAGAAGGUCCCAAGGGUUGGGCUGUUCGCCCAUUAAAGUGGCACGCGAGCUGGGUUCAGAACGUCG